rnacentral:rRNA from 1 species
GACGAACGCUGGCGGCGUGCUUAACACAUGCAAGUCGAACGGAAAGGCCCUGCUUUUGUGGGGUGCUCGAGUGGCGAACGGGUGAGUAACACGUGAGUAACCUGCCCUUGACUUUGGGAUAACUUCAGGAAACUGGGGCUAAUACCGGACAGGAGCUCCUGCCGCAUGGUGGGGGUUGGAAAGUUUCGGCGGUUGGGGAUGGACUCGCGGCUUACCAGCUCGUUGGUGGGGUAGUGGCUUACCAAGGCUUUGACGGGUAGCCGGCCUGGGAGGGUGACCGGCCACAUUGGGACUAAGGUACGGCCCAGACUCCUACGGGAGGCAGCGGUGGGGAAUAUUGCACAAUGGGAGGAAGCCUGAUGCAGCAACGCCGCGUGCGGGAUGACGGCCUUCGGGUUGUAAACCGCUUUAGCCUGUGACGAAGCGUGAGUGACGGUAAUGAGUAAAGAAGCACCGGCUAACUACGUG